rnacentral:rRNA from 1 species
GACGAACGCUGGCGGCGUGCUUAACACAUGCAAGUCGAACGGAAAGGCCCUGCUUUUGUGGGGUGCUCGAGUGGCGAACGGGUGAGUAACACGUGAGUAGCCUGCCCUUGACUUUGGGAUAACUUCAGGAAACUGGGGCUAAUACCGGAUAGGAGCUCCUGCUGCAUGGUGGGGGUUGGAAAGUUUCGGCGGUUGGGGAUGGACUCGCGGCUUAUCAGCUUGUUGGUGGGGGAGUGGCUUACCAAGGCUUUGACGGGUAGCCGGCCUGAGAGGGUGACCGGCCACAUUGGGACUGAGAUACGGCCCAGACUCCUACGGGAGGCAGCAGUGGGGAAUAUUGCACAAUGGGCGGAAGCCUGAUGCAGCAACGCCGCGUGCGGGAUGACGGCCUUCGGGUUGUAAACCGCUUUCGCCUGUGACGAAGCGUGAGUGACGGUAAUGGGUAAAGAAGCACCGGCUAACUACGUG